rnacentral:rRNA from 1 species
UACGUAGGGGGCAAGCGUUGUCCGGAUUUAUUGGGCGUAAAGAGCGUGUAGGCGGCCAGGUAGGUCUGCUGUGAAAACUCGAGGCUCAACCUCGAGACGUCGGCGGAAAACAUCUGGCUAGAGUCCGGAAGAGGAGAGUGGAAUUCCUGGUGUAGCGGUGAAAUGCGCAGAUAUCAGGAAGAACACCCGUGGCGAAGGCGGCUCUCUGGGACGGUACUGACGCUGAGACGCGAAAGCGUGGGGAGCGAACAGG